CUCAUUAAAUCAGUCAUAAUUUAUUUGAUGAUUACUUACUACUUGGAUAACCGUAGUAAUUCUAGAGCUAAUACAUGGGCAAAGUCCUGACUUUCGGGGAGGGAUGUAUUUAUUAGAUACAAAACCAAUGCGGGUGGGCAACCAUCCGGUCUGAGGUGAAUCAUAAUAACUGUUCGAAUCGCAUGGCUUCACGCCGGCGAUAGUUCAUUCAAAUUUCUGCCCUAUCAGCUUUCGACGGUAGUGUAGUGGACUACCGUGGCAUUAACGGGUGACGGAGAAUUAGGGUUCGGUUCCGGAGAGGGAGCCUGAGAGAUGGCUACCACAUCCAAGGAAGGCAGCAGGCGCGCAAAUUACCCAAUCCUGACACAGGGAGGUAGUGACAAAAAAUAACAAUACCGGGCUUCAUAGUCUGGUAAUUGGAAUGAGUACAAUUUAAAUCCCUUAACGAGGAACAAUUGGAGGGCAAGUCUGGUGCCAGCAGCCGCGGUAAUUCCAGCUCCAAUAGCGUAUGUUAAAAUUGCUGCAGUUAAAAAGCUCGUAGUUGGAUUUCUGGUGUGGUGCGCCGAGCCCGCCCUUCGGGGUGAGUGCUUGCGCGCGCCUACCAUACUUCUGGGCUGUGCUGCUUGCCCUUCACCGGGUGGAGUGGGCACGACUCAGAUCUUUUACUUUGAAAAAAUUAGAGUGUUUAAAGCAGGCGUUUGCUAUGAAUACAUUAGCAUGGAAUAAUAAGAUAGGACUUUGGUUCUAUUUUGUUGGUUUCUAGGACUGAAGUAAUGAUUGAUAGGGACAGUUGGGGGUGCUAGUAUUUAACGGCCAGAGGUGAAAUUCUUGGAUUCGUUAAAGACUAACUUAUGCGAAAGCAUUCCCAAGGAUGUCUUCUUUAAUCAAGAACGAAAGUUGGGGGAUCGAAGGCGAUCAGAUACCGUCGUAGUCUCAACUAUAAACUAUACCGACUAGGGAUGAGUGAACGUUGCUUAAUCGACUUCAUUCGCACCUUAUGAGAAAUCAAAGUCUUCGGGUUCUGGGGGGAGUAUGGUCGCAAGGCUGAAACUUAAAGGAAUUGACGGAAGGGCACCACCAGGAGUGGAGCCUGCGGCUUAAUUUGACUCAACACGGGAAAAC
rnacentral:rRNA from 1 species